rnacentral:rRNA from 1 species
GACAGAGGGUGCGAACGUUGUUCGGAAUUACUGGGCGUAAAGGGUGCGUAGGCGGCUCGGUAAGUCGGGUGUGAAAUCUCGGAGCUUAACUCCGAAACUGCAUUCGAUACUGCCGUGCUUGAGGACUGGAGAGGAGACUGGAAUUUACGGUGUAGCGGUGAAAUGCGUAGAUAUCAUAAGGAAGGCCAGUGGCGAAGGCGGGUCUCUGGACAGUUCCUGACGCUGAGGCACGAAGGCCAGGGGAGCAAACGGG